rnacentral:rRNA from 1 species
GACGAACGCUGGCGGCGUGCCUAAUACAUGCAAGUAGAACGCUGAAGCUUGGUGCUUGCACCGAGCGGAUGAGUUGCGAACGGGUGAGUAACGCGUAGGUAACCUGCCUGGUAGCGGGGGAUAACUAUUGGAAACGAUAGCUAAUACCGCAUAAUAGUAGAUGUUGCAUGACAUUUGCUUAAAAGGUGCAAUUGCAUCACUACCAGAUGGACCUGCGUUGUAUUAGCUAGUUGGUGAGGUAACGGCUCACCAAGGCAACGAUACAUAGCCGACCUGAGAGGGUGAUCGGCCACACUGGGACUGAGACACGGCCCAGACUCCUACGGGAGGCAGCAGUAGGGAAUCUUCGGCAAUGGACGGAAGUCUGACCGAGCAACGCCGCGUGAGUGAAGAAGGUUUUCGGAUCGUAAAGCUCUGUUGUAAGAGAAGAACGAGUGUGAGAGUGGAAAGUUCACACUGUGACGGUAUCUUAUCAGAAAGGGACGGCUAACUACGUG